rnacentral:tRNA from 1 species
GAGGACAGAGCUCAGUGGCAGAGCGCGUGCUUAGCGUGCAUGAGGUCCUGGGUUCAGUCCCCAGCAUCUCCA